UACGAAGGGUGCAAGCGUUAAUCGGAAUUACUGGGCGUAAAGCGUGCGCAGGCGGUUUCGUAAGUCUGUCGUGAAAGCCCCGGGCUCAACCUGGGAAUUGCGAUGGAGACUGCGAGGCUAGAGUGUGUCAGAGGGGGUAGAAUUCCACGUGUGAGCAGUGAAAUGCGUAGAUAUGUGGAGGAACACCGAUGGCGAAGGCAGCCCCCUGGGAUAACACUGACGCUCAUGCACGAAAGCGUGGGGAGCAAACAGG
rnacentral:rRNA from 1 species